rnacentral:rRNA from 1 species
UACGUAGGGCGCAAGCGUUGUCCGGAAUUAUUGGGCGUAAAGAGCUCGUAGGCGGUUUGUCGCGUCUGCUGUGAAAACUCGGGGCUUAACUCCGGGCCUGCAGUGGGUACGGGCAGACUAGAGUGCGGUAGGGGAGACUGGAAUUCCUGGUGUAGCGGUGGAAUGCGCAGAUAUCAGGAGGAACACCGUGGCAAAGGCGGGUCUCUGGGCAGUAACUGACGCUGAGGAGCGAAAGCGUGGGGAGCGAACAGG